rnacentral:misc_RNA from 1 species
AACCAUUCUCACCUGCGGCUAGACCUGCGGAAGGAUCAUUAUUGAUUUUUAACAGGAUGUGCUGGCUCUCAAGGGGGCAAUGUGCACUCCUAAUAAAACCAAUAUCCACCUGUGCACCUUAAGUAGACUAGUAGGACUCAUCACAGUCUUUCCAGUCUAUGUUCCUUCACAAACCUUUUGAAAUGUAAAUGAAUGAUCAUCUGUAUAAUUAAUAACAACUUUUAACAACGGAUCUCAGAU